AGCGAACGCUGGCGGCAGGCUUAACACAUGCAAGUCGAGCGGGCACUCUCGGGUGUCAGCGGCUGACGGGUGAGUAACGCGUGGGAACGUGCCCUCUGGUUCGGAAUUACUCAGGGAAACUUGAGCUAAUACCGGAUACGCCCUUUUGGGGAAAGGCUUGCUGCCGGAGGAUCGGCCCGCGUCUGAUUAGCUAGUGGGUGAGGUAACGGCUCACCAAGGCGACGAUCAGUAGCUGGUCUGAGAGGAUGAUCAGCCACACUGGGACUGAGACACGGCCCAGAAUCCUAGGGAAGGGAGGAGUGGGGAAUAUUGGCCAAUGGGGGCAGGCCUGAUCCAGCCAUGCCGCGUGAGUGAUGAAGGCGUUAGGGUUGUGAAGCUGUUUUAUCCGGGACGAUAAUGACGGUACCGGAGGAAUAAGCCCCGGCUAACUUCGUG
rnacentral:rRNA from 1 species